AUUGAACGCUGGCGGAAUGCUUUACACAUGCAAGUCGAACGGCAGCACGGACUUCGGUCUGGUGGCGAGUGGCGAACGGGUGAGUAAUACAUCGGAACGUGCCCAAUCGUGGGGGAUAACGUAGCGGAAGCUACGCUAAUACCGCAUACGAUCUAAGAAUGAAAGCGGGGGAUCGCAAGACCUCGCGCGAAUGGAGCGGCCGAUGGCAGAUUAGGUAGUUGGUAGGGGAAAGGCCUACCAAGCCGACGAUCUGUAGCUGGUCUGAGAGGAUGAUCAGCCACACUGGGACUGAGACACGGCCCAGACUCCUACGGGAGGCAGCAGUGGGGAAUUUUGGACAAUGGACGCAAGUCUGAUCCAGCCAUUCCGCGUGCAGGAUGAAGGCCCUCGGGUUGUAAACUGCUUUUGUACAGAACGAAAAGGCUCUGGUUAAUACCUGGGGCUCAUGACGGUACUGUAAGAAUAAGCACCGGCUAACUACGUGCCAGCCGCCGCGGUAACAC
rnacentral:rRNA from 1 species